UGACUUGUUCAUCCCAUCACGCAGUUUCCUCUCCAUCUUUCCACCCGCCACCCCGAACUGUUGGCAUCUGCUCCAGCCGGGGGAGCGAACCAAGCGUCCACCGAUCUGCUACUGUAGGUCAGAACGGCAGAAGGGAGGAAGCUUCACUACGGCAGUGCCGGAGAUUCGUAACUAGCAGCGCAUUGGUGCACACACUUUGUAGUUCGGUUUAUUUGAUCAUCAUCUGCUGCCAAAUGAGACCAAAUCAAGGAGCUGCCCGACUAAUCGGAAGAUGGCUUCCCAUCGUAUGCAUCUUUCAUUAGAUGGUGAAGGGUGAUCCUUAGAUGGAUCUGGACAAUCAGCAACAGCUUGAGUAAUGUGAAUUUGUGCGGAAAAUUCCGCCUGAUCAAAUUCUGUCAUCACCGAAAUAUUCGAAAUUAAAUGAUUUGAGCGGUGGAACAUCCUGAAUUCUGUUUCUAGUUAUGGUUGUGGGGUUAAUGGAAGCAAAUGAGAGAUUUGACAUGUAUGUUUGACAACAAUCACUAUUGUCGAAUGAUACAUGUCACGUAAUAUUCUUACUGUUUUUCGAAUCGAAUUAUUCCUUGUGGAUCUAGCUAAUUCUCUGACUGAUGGACAUUGUUCAAUAAGUUGCAAUAAUAUAAAAAAUCCUCAUUUGUUCUC